rnacentral:tRNA from 1 species
GCCCUCUUAGUUCAAUGGAUAGAACGGCCCGCUCCUAAUGGGCUGAUGUCAGUUCGAUUCUGGCAGGGGGCA